AUCUACCGAGAACUCGUACAGUCUGCAGGUCUGCGCUGAUAUAAGUGUUAGUGAGGAUAAAGUUAUUAUUUUAAACAUAAACCUCAGCAUGACAUGAACAGUGUCCUGCCUGUGAUUUAUCCGUUGUAAUUAUCCGUAAAGCGUUUUAGUUUUUCAUUUGGCUAUCACAAAGAAAAAAUCCUGAUCGUGGAGAGAUUUUAAAGGAAUAUCCAUCGAUUCGGGCCGUUUUAUUACGUCUACACAUGUGAUUGGCGUCAUGCUGUUGUCACAUACCAGCAGUGAUGCUGCUGGAGCCUCAAACACUCAAGCUUCUGCCUGCAUAUUGAGAUGCACUUCAGUGAAGGCUGGUCGACAGCUGCCAUUCGGUCUAGACUAAGCAGCUCCUCUCUUAUCAAGAUCAAAGCACAUGUUUGCACUGAAAACUGGGAAAUGUAUGAGAGAGGUGCAAGGGAUGAAUUGGUAAGAGAAAAUGUGAGGUGAAAUAUGAAAUUCAGUAUAUACCAUGUGGAAUAUUUAGUAUUGUCCUAUAAGUUGCUGUUUUCAGAGCUAAAUAGUGUAUUUUAUGGCGUCAUAGAAGGUUUGAGGAUUUCAAUCCAAGUAAAUAAAAAGUCUCUGUACAAAACAUGGCAUAAUAUGGCUGAUUAGUUUUAAACACAUUCACACUCAUUCACUUGCUCUACAGUCUAGACCACAAGUAUUCACUCUCCUCAAACCUGACCCUGACAUAUAAGCCUGAAAUAGACGCCUACUUAGACAUGACAUCAGCCAGUGUUUUAGCCAAACACACACACACACUCAGUACAUGUCUGCAGAGCCAAAUGACCUGCGCUUUUAAGUCUAGUGGGGAAAUUUCAGGCAGCUGGGCGAAGGCAAUGAGGAUAUAAGGCGCGUGUUAAAAGCCUGCUUCCGGCAGUAUCAGACUACCAUUCCCUUUCUAUAGAAUUAAAUGUGUGUAAAAUCAGCCUUUAGGAUAGAACACCUAACAGAAAACCUGCUUUUUCAAGGUGUUAGAUCUGCUGAAGGACAUACAGGGGAGAGGAUGGCUUUUACAAAAAUGCAUUUAUAUGGAUGAGAACAAAAAAAAAAAAAACAAAA